rnacentral:rRNA from 1 species
AUUCCAGCUCCAAUAGUGUAUAUUAAAGUUGUUGCGGUUAAAAAGCUCGUAGUUGGAUUUCUGCCAAGGCUGAACGGUCCGCCCAUUGGGUGAGUAUCUGUCUUAGCUGGAGCAUUUUCUUGGAGGGCAUGGCUGCACUUAACUGUGUGGUAUGCAACCCAAGACUUUUACUUUGAGGAAAUUAGAGUGUCUCAAGCAGGCUCGCGCCUUGAAUACAUUAGCAUGGAAUAAUAAGAUAAGGCCUUGGUUGUAUUUUGUUGGUUUCUACAGCUGAGGUAUGAUGAACAGGGAUACUUGGGGGCAUACGAAUUUAACUGUCAGAGGUGAAAUUCUUGGAUUUGUUAAAGACGGACUACUGUGAAAGCAUUUGCCAAGAAUGUUUUCAUCA